rnacentral:sRNA from 1 species
GUGACCAAUGACUUUGUCAUGCUGAAAGGCUGUGUGGUGGGAACCAAGAAGCGGGUGCUCACCCUCCGCAAGGUGAGGCAGGUCCUGCCUCGUCAUGGGGGGGCUCUUGUAGAGGGAGGGUCCAAGGCCACAGACGCUGGUGGCUCUGUGAUGGGAGAGGAAAGGAAGGAGAGGGUGUUGGCAGUCCUUUCACACUGGCUUUGAAGUCCUGAGAUGAGGAAAUUCCCAGUCUGGCCUUGCUGGGCUGUUUGCUGCUUUGAGUGUGUCCUCAUCUGCCGGACGGUGGGGGAGGCUGAAUUGAUCGUGUGGCUUCCCAGAUGCAGGGGCGCAGUGAACAGUGCUGAGGAAAGCCUGGCUCCUCGUAAUCCUAAAUGCCUUCCCCUCUUGGCCCACAGUCCUUGCUGGUGCAGACGAAGCGGCGGGCUCUGGAGAAGAUUGACCUUAAGUUCAUUGACACCACCUCCAAGUUUGGCCAUGGCCGCUUCCAGACCAUGGAGGAGAAGAAAGCAUUCAUGGGACCACUCAAGAAAGACCGAAUUGCAAAGGAAGAAGGAGCUUAAUGCCAGGAACAGAUUUUGCAGUUGGUGGGGUCUCAAUAAAAGUUAUUUUCCACUGA